UCCCCNGGCAGCCUGUCUUUAGUAACAUU
rnacentral:piRNA from 1 species